rnacentral:misc_RNA from 1 species
AACCAAAAGAUACAGCACAAAAAUAAUUAAAAAAACUAACCUCAAGCAGACACUUUUUCUAACUUAGCAUGGGGCAACUAACAUCAAAUAAACUAGAAACAUGCCAAACUGAGCUCUGAAAGUCAUGGAUUUAUCAACACAACCUCCACGAGUAUCAACUUAUUAUAGAGACAACACCACAACUAUAAAAAUACUCCUUCAAGAGUAACUAGGAGUUUUCACCAACCAUAACUAUAUUAAGGUCUUAUGCUGAUGCAAAAAUCUGCAGUCUUCACCUAGACAUCGACCAUGCUGAUCCAGCAGCUUCUUACACUCAGGCCAAACUGUAGAUGUAAUGAAACAAGGGUAAUUUUCACUUGCAUAGAAUAUCCAGCUGCUACAUCAUGAAAACCAAGGAUCCUCGCCACAUUAAGCUUGCUGACACAGAAAUAUCAUGAUCCCCUCAAUUAGCACUGUGUCCAAUCUUUCUAGUAUCAAGCAGCACCGAACGACAUGUCGUGUGCUGUGUACUGGCGCAGGCUCUUUUACCCCAUUCUCCUGCACCAGCAAUGGGGUAGA